UUUGAAACACCAGUUCCUGUACGAUCCCCGAAGUUAAGCAAUGUCGAGCCUGGUCAUUACCUAGAUGGGUGACUGCUUGGGAAUACCAGAUGCUA